rnacentral:rRNA from 1 species
UACGUAGGGGGCUAGCGUUGUCCGGAUUUAUUGGGCGUAAAGAGCGUGUAGGCGGCCAGGUAGGUCUGCUGUGAAAACUCGAGGCUCAACCUCGAGACGUCGGCGGAAACCAUCUGGCUAGAGUCCGGAAGAGGAGAGUGGAAUUCCUGGUGUAGCGGUGAAAUGCGCAGAUAUCAGGAAGAACACCCCGUGGCGAAGGCGGCUCUCUGGGACGGUACUGACGCUGAGACGCGAAAGCGUGGGGAGCGAACAGG